rnacentral:rRNA from 1 species
UACGUAGGGUGCGAGCGUUGUCCGGAAUUAUUGGGCGUAAAGAGCUCGUAGGUGGUUUGUCGCGUUGUCCGUGAAAACUCACAACUCAAUUGUGGGCGUGCGGGCGAUACGGGCAGACUGGAGUACUGCAGGGGAGACUGGAAUUCCUGGUGUAGCGGUGGAAUGCGCAGAUAUCAGGAGGAACACCCGUAGCGAAGGCGGCACUCUGGGCCGAUACUGACACUGAGGAGCGAAAGCGUGGGGAGCGAACAGG